UGGGGAAUUUUGGACAAUGGGCGAAAGCCUGAUCCAGCAAUGCCGCGUGUGUGAAGAAGGCCUUCGGGUUGUAAAGCACUUUUGUCCGGAAAGAAAUCCUUGGCUCUAAUACAGUCGGGGGAUGACGGUACCGGAAGAAUAAGCACCGGCUAACUACGUGCCAGCAGCCGCGGUAAUACGUAGGGUGCAAGCGUUAAUCGGAAUUACUGGGCGUAAAGCGUGCGCAGGCGGUUUGCUAAGACCGAUGUGAAAUCCCCGGGCUCAACCUGGGAACUGCAUUGGUGACUGGCAGGCUAGAGUAUGGCAGAGGGGGGUAGAAUUCCACGUGUAGCAGUGAAAUGCGUAGAGAUGUGGAGGAAUACCGAUGGCGAAGGCAGCCCCCUGGGCCAAUACUGACGCUCAUGCACGAAAGCGUGGGGAGCAAACAGGAUUAGAUACCCUGGUAGUCCACGCCCUAAACGAUGUCAACUAGUUGUUGGGGAUUCAUUUCCUUAGUAACGUAGCUAACGCGUGAAGUUGACCGCCUGGGGAGUACGGUCGCAAGAUUAAAAACUCAAAUGAAUUGACGGGGUCAUAGCUGUUUCCU
rnacentral:rRNA from 1 species